rnacentral:misc_RNA from 1 species
GACGAACCGUGCUAACGUUGUUCGGAAUCACUGGGCUUAAAGGGCGCGUAGGCGGCUCGCCAAGUCAGAGGUGAAAUCUUUCGGCUUAACCGGAAAAGUGCCUUUGAUACUGGCGGGCUCGAGGGAGGUAGGGGCAGAUGGAACUUCCGGUGGAGCGGUGAAAUGUGUUGAUAUCGGAAGGAACGCCGGUGGCGAAAGCGAUCUGCUGGAUCUCUACUGACGCUGAGGCGCGAAAGCCAGGGUAGCGAACGGG